GGUAGCGUGGCCGAUCGGUGUAAGGCGCUGGUUUAAGGCACCAGUCUCACCGUAGCCGUUUGUUCGAAUCCCACCGCUGCCA